UACGUAGGGUGCAAGCGUUAAUCGGAAUUACUGGGCGUAAAGCGUGCGCAGGCGGUUAUAUAAGACAGAUGUGCAAUCCCCGGGCUCCACCUGGGAACUGCAUUUGUGACUGUAUAGCUAGAGUACGGUAGAGGGGGAUGGAAUUCCGCGUGUAGCAGUGAAAUGCGUAGAUAUGCGGAGGAACACCGAUGGCGAAGGCAAUCCCCUGGACCUGUACUGACGCUCAUGCACGAAAGCGUGGGGAGCAAACAGG
rnacentral:rRNA from 1 species